AAUCAAGGAUUUUCUUCUUACCUAAAAGCUUUGAAAUGGCUGAAUUAUGCAUAUUUGGAAAUAAUUUCGAGAUCUUUUUCCGUUCUUCUUUAGCCCAAACCAUGAACGCGUUCAUUGGUCUUUUAAUGUGAGCCCGAGGAAAAACAAAAGGACAAUUCCAAAUUCAUGUCAAUCACCAAUGAUAUCAAAUGAUAAACAUGAAAUUCUCUCGUAGGAUAAAUGAUCGAUUCUGUUAAUUUUGUUGCCUGUUGAUUAAUAUCAAUUACAGUUUAUAACAUGACAUAGAGAGGAUUUUGUUUACGGUCUAAUUAAAUUGUGAAGAUGAGCUUUUGUGAUGGUGAAUAUGAAAUACACUUUUCUCUAUCAUCGUAGCUUCUGAAUAUUGGCUCUAGAAUUUUGUUUCUAUGGCUAAAAGCCAAAAGUAUUCGAAUGGUUCAUUUCUCAUUUAGUUAAUCAUAUUCUUGUUAACUGAAUAACUGGAAAUAAUUGGUUUCACCAUCUAGAAAAUAAUAAUUGUUAGAAUCUAUAUAAUUUGUCUAUCAUCACAAUUAAUUAACAACAGUCUAAAGUGAGAUGAUAACAGUUGAUUGUGUUUAUCAAUAUACAUAUGAUGAGAAAAUGAAUCUUGGAAAAACUGUUAAUGGAUUUUCCAUGGUUAACAUUUUCCUCUAUUCGUCUUUUCUUAAAGGACUUGAUUGAAAUUGGACUUAUUCCCGUUUUAUCAGUUGGACAUGGAGAUUGUUGUGAGGAUGAUAACAAAUAAGGAUGAUGAUUGACAUGAACAGAACCAAUUGGAUUAACCAAAUUUGCUCGAAGUGAAAACAAAGGUGUCACUGGAUUAGAUGAUCGAUUGGCAAGGAUCUUGGGACGACUGAAUAUCGAUGAUGGAUGAAAAUCCUCUUCCAAAGGUCUAGAAUUUCAAUAAAAAGAAUACAAAAAUCAAUUAAUUGUCUAAGAAUUAGGGAUGACAAAAAUAUCAAUCAAGAUGCGAAAAAAAGAAAACAACAAUCUCAAAACUGAACUGAAUCUUCCCUGAGAAUAUAUUUUCAUAUCUAUUGACGAUUUGAGGUAUCGUUUUUUUUUUAAAUUUUGUUAUUCAGGGAAAACAAGAAUUAAUCACGUUUAAGUGGCCUCGAUACCUCGAUGGACUUCACGAGACUUCAUUUAAAUACUAAAUACAAAGACCAAUAGACUCGUUAUUGACUCUCAACAAGAAGAGCAAAUCUUAAGCUUUGAAUAAAGUUAAUCUCCAUGUUAAAUUAAGUUGGCCAUAAGAAAUGCUACUGUUGGACUAUUUUUCUCGAUUGCGACCAAAGUUCAGUUAAUUCAAAUUUGUAAUCACGGACAAGCCCAAAAACUCAUAAUUGCGAUCUCAGAAGUCUUUUGGUGUACAACCAGCGCAAAAACCAAGUGUCAUUACUUGAGUGAAAAGAUGAAGGUUCGAAAUGAGAGAUGGAAGAAGUCUUUGUAUUUUAAGUUGUCUGUGAUGGCUGGACAUGGUUCAUCUCAUGAGAUGAAGUUUUAUCUAAUCUUGAUGAAUUUGGUUAGUUGCUGGUGUUAUGAACACUGAAGGUGGAUCAGCUAAGAUUGUAAAUGCACCAACAGUUAAACCAAUUGGAGAAACGGUGUUGUUAAAACUUCAUCUUCAAUUUCAUCAUCAGCAUCACCAUCUCCAGUGAACUCUGUCUCCUCUACCCCAUCACCCCAGCCACCUUCAUCUCUUGGAGCAAGUUCUAAUUCAACACCAGUUUCUUCAGGAACCUGCAGCCCAACAUCUGAUGAGGCCAUUUCACUUGAAUCUGAUAAAUGUGAAACUUCAUUAUCACCUAACGGUUCCACUUUGGCCUCAGAUGAUUCAACAACUAAUAAUGUUACCCCCACCACCACUACCACCAACACCACUGCUACCACCAUCAUUACUCACCCAAUCACAACCUCUACAGAAAAUGUAAAAGGAUCAGUGGCAAGAAUGGUGAACAAUAACAAUUCAAUAAAUAGUAUUGCAAACGGGAUUGCAGCUAAACUUAAGUUCGGCGGAUCUGAGAUUUGCCCAAGGUGUAAUAAGGCUGUUUACAUGGCAGAGAGGAUGAUGGGAGGUGGAUCGAACAAGAAAAAAGAGAAAAUUAAA